AGAGUUUGAUCCUGGCUCAGGAUGAACGCUGGCGGCGUGCUUAACACAUGCAAGUCGAGCGAUGAAGUUUCCUUCGGGAAACGGAUUAGCGGCGGACGGGUGAGUAACACGUGGGUAACCUGCCUCAUAGAGUGGAAUAGCCUUCCGAAAGGAAGAUUAAUACCGCAUAAUGUUGAAAGAUGGCAUCAUCAUUCAACCAAAGGAGCAAUCCGCUAUGAGAUGGACCCGCGGCGCAUUAGCUAGUUGGUGGGGUAACGGCCUACCAAGGCGACGAUGCGUAGCCGACCUGAGAGGGUGAUCGGCCACAUUGGGACUGAGACACGGCCCAGACUCCUACGGGAGGCAGCAGUGGGGAAUAUUGCACAAUGGGGGAAACCCUGAUGCAGCAACGCCGCGUGAGUGAUGAAGGUUUUCGGAUCGUAAAGCUCUGUUCUUUGGGGAAGAUAAUGACGGUACCCAAGGAGGAAGCCACGGCUAACUACGUGCCAGCAGCCGCGGU
rnacentral:rRNA from 1 species